rnacentral:rRNA from 1 species
ACGACUCUCGACAACGGAUAUCUCGGCUCUCGCAUCGAUGAAGAACGUAGCGAAAUGCGAUACUUGGUGUGAAUUGCAGAAUCCCGUGAACCAUCGAGUCUUUGAACGCAAGUUGCGCCCGAAGCCAAUAGGCCGAGGGCACGUCUGCCUGGGUGUC